rnacentral:rRNA from 1 species
CAGUAGCCACGGUAAUACGUAGGUGGCAAGCGUUGUCCGGAAUUAUUGGGCGUAAAGGGCUCGCAGGCGGUUUCUUAAGUCUGAUGUGAAAGCCCCCGGCUCAACCGGGGAGGGUCAUUGGAAACUGGGGAACUUGAGUGCAGAAGAGGAGAGUGGAAUUCCACGUGUAGCGGUGAAAUGCGUAGAGAUGUGGAGGAACACCAGUGGCGAAGGCGACUCUCUGGUCUGUAACUGACGCUGAGGAGCGAAAGCGUGGGGAGCGAACAGGAUUAGAUACCCCGGUAGUCCCUGUCUCUUAUAC